AUUGAACGCUGGCGGCAUGCCUUACACAUGCAAGUCGAACGGUAACAGGUCUUCGGAUGCUGACGAGUGGCGAACGGGUGAGUAAUACAUCGGAACGUGCCUAGUAGGGGGGGAUAACUACUCGAAAGAGUGGCUAAUACCGCAUGAGAUCUACGGAUGAAAGCAGGGGAUCGCAAGACCUUGUGCUACUAGAGCGGCCGAUGGCAGAUUAGAUAGUUGGUGGGAUAAAAGCUUACCAAGCCGGCGAUCUGUAGCUGGUCUGAGAGGACGAUCAGGCACAAGGGGAAUGAGACACGGCCCAGACUCCUACGGGAGGCAGCAGUGGGGAAUUUUGGACAAUGGGCGCAAGCCUGUUCCAGCAAUGCCGCGUGCAGGAUGAAGGCCUUCGGGUUGUAAACUGCUUUUGGACGGAACGAAAAGCCCUGGGUUAAUACCCUGGGGUCAUGACGGUACCGUAAGAAUAAGCACCGGCUAACUACGUGCCAGCAGCCGCCGUAA
rnacentral:rRNA from 1 species